rnacentral:rRNA from 1 species
GCAUACCUACGGGACGCAGCAGUGGGGAAUAUUGGGCAAUGGGCGCAAGCCUGACCCAGCAACGCCGCGUGAAGGAAGAAGGCUUUCGGGUUGUAAACUUCUUUUCUCAGGGACGAAGCAAGUGACGGUACCUGAGGAAUAAGCCACGGCUAACUACGUGCCAGCAGCCGCGGUAAUACGUAGGUGGCAAGCGUUAUCCGGAUUUACUGGGUGUAAAGGGCGUGUAGGCGGGAAAGCAAGUCAGAUGUGAAAACCACGGGCCCAACCUGUGGCCUGCAUUUGAAACUGUUUUUCUUGA